GGGUUGUGAGGUUAAGCGACUAAGCGUACACGGUGGAUGCCCUGGCAGUCAGAGGCGAUGAAGGACGUGCUAAUCUGCGAUAAGCGUCGGUAAGGUGAUAUGAACCGUUAUAACCGGCGAUUUCCGAAUGGGGAAACCCAGUGUGUUUCGACACACUAUCAUUAACUGAAUCCAUAGGUUAAUGAGGCGAACCGGGGGAACUGAAACAUCUAAGUACCCCGAGGAAAAGAAAUCAACCGAGAUUCCCCCAGUAGCGGCGAGCGAACGGGGAGCAGCCCAGAGCCUGAAUCAGUGUGUGUGUUAGUGGAAGCGUCUGGAAAGGCGCGCGAUACAGGGUGACAGCCCCGUACACAAAAAUGCACAUACUGUGAGCUCGAUGAGUAGGGCGGGACACGUGGUAUCCUGUCUGAAUAUGGGGGGACCAUCCUCCAAGGCUAAAUACUCCUGACUGACCGAUAGUGAACCAGUACCGUGAGGGAAAGGCGAAAAGAACCCCGGCGAGGGGAGUGAAAAAGAACCUGAAACCGUGUACGUACAAGCAGUGGGAGCCUCUUUUAUGGGGUGACUGCGUACCUUUUGUAUAAUGGGUCAGCGACUUAUAUUCUGUAGCAAGGUUAACCGAAUAGGGGAGCCGAAGGGAAACCGAGUCUUAACCGGGCGUUAAGUUGCAGGGUAUAGACCCGAAACCCGGUGAUCUAGCCAUGGGCAGGUUGAAGGUUGGGUAACACUAACUGGAGGACCGAACCGACUAAUGUUGAAAAAUUAGCGGAUGACUUGUGGCUGGGGGUGAAAGGCCAAUCAAACCGGGAGAUAGCUGGUUCUCCCCGAAAGCUAUUUAGGUAGCGCCUCGUGAAUUCAUCUCCGGGGGUAGAGCACUGUUUCGGCAAGGGGGUCAUCCCGACUUACCAACCCGAUGCAAACUGCGAAUACCGGAGAAUGUUAUCACGGGAGACACACGGCGGGUGCUAACGUCCGUCGUGAAGAGGGAAACAACCCAGACCGCCAGCUAAGGUCCCAAAGUCAUGGUUAAGUGGGAAACGAUGUGGGAAGGCCCAGACAGCCAGGAUGUUGGCUUAGAAGCAGCCAUCAUUUAAAGAAAGCGUAAUAGCUCACUGGUCGAGUCGGCCUGCGCGGAAGAUGUAACGGGGCUAAACCAUGCACCGAAGCUGCGGCAGCGACACUGUGUGUUGUUGGGUAGGGGAGCGUUCUGUAAGCCUGUGAAGGUGUACUGUAAGGUAUGCUGGAGGUAUCAGAAGUGCGAAUGCUGACAUAAGUAACGAUAAAGCGGGUGAAAAGCCCGCUCGCCGGAAGACCAAGGGUUCCUGUCCAACGUUAAUCGGGGCAGGGUGAGUCGACCCCUAAGGCGAGGCCGAAAGGCGUAGUCGAUGGGAAACAGGUUAAUAUUCCUGUACUUGGUGUUACUGCGAAGGGGGGACGGAGAAGGCUAUGUUGGCCGGGCGACGGUUGUCCCGGUUUAAGCGUGUAGGCUGGUUUUCCAGGCAAAUCCGGAAAAUCAAGGCUGAGGCGUGAUGACGAGGCACUACGGUGCUGAAGCAACAAAUGCCCUGCUUCCAGGAAAAGCCUCUAAGCAUCAGGUAACAUCAAAUCGUACCCCAAACCGACACAGGUGGUCAGGUAGAGAAUACCAAGGCGUUUGAGAGAACUCGGGUGAAGGAACUAGGCAAAAUGGUGCCGUAACUUCGGGAGAAGGCACGCUGAUAUGUAGGUGAAGUCCCUCGCGGAUGGAGCUGAAAUCAGUCGAAGAUACCAGCUGGCUGCAACUGUUUAUUAAAAACACAGCACUGUGCAAACACGAAAGUGGACGUAUACGGUGUGACGCCUGCCCGGUGCCGGAAGGUUAAUUGAUGGGGUCAGCGCAAGCGAAGCUCUUGAUCGAAGCCCCGGUAAACGGCGGCCGUAACUAUAACGGUCCUAAGGUAGCGAAAUUCCUUGUCGGGUAAGUUCCGACCUGCACGAAUGGCGUAAUGAUGGCCAGGCUGUCUCCACCCGAGACUCAGUGAAAUUGAACUCGCUGUGAAGAUGCAGUGUACCCGCGGCAAGACGGAAAGACCCCGUGAACCUUUACUAUAGCUUGACACUGAACAUUGAGCCUUGAUGUGUAGGAUAGGUGGGAGGCUUUGAAGUGUGGACGCCAGUCUGCAUGGAGCCGACCUUGAAAUACCACCCUUUAAUGUUUGAUGUUCUAACGUGGACCCGUGAUCCGGGUUGCGGACAGUGUCUGGUGGGUAGUUUGACUGGGGCGGUCUCCUCCUAAAGAGUAACGGAGGAGCACGAAGGUUGGCUAAUCCUGGUCGGACAUCAGGAGGUUAGUGCAAUGGCAUAAGCCAGCUUGACUGCGAGCGUGACGGCGCGAGCAGGUGCGAAAGCAGGUCAUAGUGAUCCGGUGGUUCUGAAUGGAAGGGCCAUCGCUCAACGGAUAAAAGGUACUCCGGGGAUAACAGGCUGAUACCGCCCAAGAGUUCAUAUCGACGGCGGUGUUUGGCACCUCGAUGUCGGCUCAUCACAUCCUGGGGCUGAAGUAGGUCCCAAGGGUAUGGCUGUUCGCCAUUUAAAGUGGUACGCGAGCUGGGUUUAGAACGUCGUGAGACAGUUCGGUCCCUAUCUGCCGUGGGCGCUGGAGAACUGAGGGGGGCUGCUCCUAGUACGAGAGGACCGGAGUGGACGCAUCACUGGUGUUCGGGUUGUCAUGCCAAUGGCACUGCCCGGUAGCUAAAUGCGGAAGAGAUAAGUGCUGAAAGCAUCUAAGCACGAAACUUGCCCCGAGAUGAGUUCUCCCUGACCCUUUAAGGGUCCUGAAGGAACGUUGAAGACGACGACGUUGAUAGGCCGGGUGUGUAAGCGCAGCGAUGCGUUGAGCUAACCGGUACUAAUGAACCGUGAGGCUUAACCUUACAACGCCGAAGGUGUUU
rnacentral:rRNA from 2 species